AUGUCUGGGGCGCCGGCCCUAGGCUUGGUGGUGGUGGCCUUCUUCUUCGUCGGAGUUGGUCGGCCGGCUGGUUGUGCACGGAGUGGGGUCGGUGGGCUUGCAUGUUCAUGGCGGCGGAGGUCGCAGUGGCCGGCGGCUUGGCCGGUCGGCGGCGGCGGAACAUGGCCGGUGGCAGCGGCAAUGUUCUGCCUGGAUCCCGGGGCGGAGGACCUGGAUGGUGGCGGGCUGGAUUACCUACACAAGUGGUGCAACCCGCCCCUUGUCCACAGGGAUGUGAAAGCCACCAACAUCCUUCUGAACGCGAGGCUGGAGGCAAAGAUUGCUGACUUCGGCUUGUCAAAGGCCUUCAACGAGAGCGACACCCACGUAUCUACGAAUACACUAGUGGGGACACCUGGUUAUGUUGACCCAGAGUACCAAGCGACAAUGCAACCAACGACUAAGAGCGACGUGUAUAGCUUUGGCAUCGUACUAUUGGAGUUAGUCACAGGGAAACCAGCCAUACUGCGGGAGACGACGCCCAUCAGCAUCAUCCAAUGGGUAAGGUUGCGGCUAGCGAGGGGCAACAUCGAGAGCGUGGUGGAUGCACGCAUGCACGGUGAUUACCAAGUCAACGGCGUGUGGAAGGCCGCCGACAUUGUGCUCAAGUGUACCGAACAAGUGUCAGUGCUGCGGCCUACCAUUACCGAUGUUGUAGUGCAGCUCCAAGAGUGCCUCGAUCUUGAGGAUUGCCACGCCAAUGGUGGCUUCUACGGCGGCAGGGGCUACGCUGUUGACCAGUCCACGGAUGUGAGCCAGGAAAGUGCUUCAUUUGAGAUGGAGCAUGAUUCUAAACUGGUGCCAACAGUGACCACCGGUCCUAUUGCACGCUAG
rnacentral:rRNA from 1 species